AGAAUUUUGUAAAAUCCAGUGGACACACAGAAGCAGCCUCUCUUCCUCUCCUUCUGUUAGCAUGAGAUUUGUCUGGAUAUUUUCAAUAUGUUUCCGGAAGAGCUGAGUCAUCACCGCACCUAUGAUGGAUGUGCUUCAUCUCCUCUGACAUGGAUAAGCUCAAGCUUCCGAGACUGAGGUGAUCAGCCUGGAUUCCAGGUAACCGGUGAAGCUGCUCUUGAAUUCUCUACCACUCCUCUGCCUUUCCCCCUCCCCUCUCCCUUUAUGGCUACAUUGCAUUUUAAAACUUCUGUGCUCACUUUUUUUCCCCUGUAACCUUUAUUGCUAAAUCCUAGACUUUGAUCUCACUAAUAUCAUUGUGAAGUAUGUCCUCCAGAUUUUUUCCCCACGUGAAGAGUCUGUGGCAGGUUCAUCCCUCAGUUGUGAUGCUAAAGUAGGACAAGGUGUUGUUGGCAUAGUCAUGCAGGAUGCUGUUGAGUCCUAUGCUGGGAAUCUCAGUAGGUUGGCUGAAGAGAAGGUGAGGGCCUAGUACUAAGUCAUGCCAUGAUGUCGGUUGCUAGAAGUUGGGCUUCUUUCCUUAAUACAACGUGGAGCAGACAGGGAUGCCUUUGGGCUUCCUGGAGUGAAGGAUGAUUUUCCAUGAGCAGAAAAGGAUUUGUCUUCGAAUCCUGCUACUGUAAACUCUGAGAUAAGUAGGAAAGGAUCAUCGAGCUGAUACACCCCAUCUCCUUGCCUACAAGCAGGACCUUCACUCAAGGCAGAGCAAGGCACUUGCGGAUAGAAGAAAUUAGGGAGACAUGGGAAAGAGGGAUGGAGAAGGAGAGCAGAAAGAAAAGGCAAACUGAGAGUAAGGAGUAAGUUGAUGGGAAAGUACAGGGCCUCAGGAGCCAAGAAGCAGAUGAUGAAACAGCCUGUUUAAGAUUCUGAGAGAUUGAGUGUUGAUACAACCUGGAAUGUGAAGAAAUUCUGCCAACAUAUGGGUUUGGACAGAGGUCACAAAUACUAGCCAGCAAAGCAAGUGACCUAUAAAUACUCUGAGAACAUUAAGGUAUAUUUGUCUCUGUUAUAGGCAGUGGGGACUGCAAAAGGCAUGCCGUAAGAGGAGUCGAGUGGGUGCUGUAACAUCAAAGUCCCUUUUCCCCCAGUAGUGGGAAGAGAGCAAGCACAAGGUCUGGAGAAGAUAUACUUCCCCCAACAGCCCACUCUGCUGAUGAAGAGCUGGUGAUUCACACUUGGAUGGCCUUCCACUCCUACCCUUUCCCUAACAACACAAAGCCUGACUCAAUCCUGAACCUUGCUAACAAAACAGAUUUGCUCUUUUUUCGUCUUAGCAGCUUUGGAGUCUAAAGACGGACUCUGUGGGAAGGCAGAUCCUUAGUUACCUCCUCCCCAAGCUGUUGCAGGAAUUUCAGAUCUCUGCUUGCUAAAUCUAGGGCCCCCUAUCUGCAUCUUCGCCACCUGAUUCCAAAAGAGUCUGGUCUUUCCAUGACAAGCUUGACUGGCUCUUGAGAGCUGUUCUGUACUUGAACACGAUGUCAUAAUAGGUCAGUCUGCUGAGAAGAACCUUGCUUGCUGAAGAAACCCAUCAGGGAAGAGUCUUCUAGGUUGGAAAUGUACUUAUUCCUCUGGGAGAUGGAAGACAAAGGAUGCUGCUGAGUAAAACUACACUCUUAUCAACUGCGAGGGUGAAAUUAGGAUGAGAAUCCAAAACAUUGCAUGUGUCUGGACUAGACUGCUGGUGGACCCUUGAGGUGUUUGUGAGUGGAUGGAGCUGCUGCUGCCUGCUGACCUGUGAACUGAACUGCGGAUUUUCAGACAACACAGACGGGAGUUGCUCCAAAGAACCUUUCUAAACAGGUCCACUUCCCCCAUAUCCUUUCUUUCCCACUACCUCUGGUGGGUGGUGGGCUAAAAGGGAGGUUAAAGCAUUUAAGAACCAUCAUUAAAAAUAGGUUUUGAAAAAAAAAUGAAAGUUACACAGAUCCAUUCUCUAUGUGG
rnacentral:lncRNA from 1 species